CAGCCAAGCUCGUUUCUGGAGUUUUGGGUGGGUCCGGAUGAGAGAAGACAAUAGCUAACUUUAUGGCUGUCAUUCUGGGAAAUCAUUCCCUUGAGAACAGAGCUUUGUCAAAAGAAGGUGGAUUCUACAAAAGAUUAAGCAGUAAAUGACUCAAAAGAUGAUCAGGCAAUGGGGGAAAAUUAGCCAAGAGCUGAUUCCUAUGAAAUGUUUUAUUAUUCCUGUGAAAUUUUUGCAUUAAUCAAGACCAUGAAUUUGGAAGGAGCCCUUCUUGGAGAAGACCUCUUCAUUGGAAGCAAUGGUCCCUGUACAGGUGGCUGAGAGGAACACAACAAAAGCAACGUCCAGGUAGAGCAGGAAGGAUGCCCCUCAGGAGCAAGGAGUGGUCAUCAGGUGAAACCCAAGGUGUCUUCUUAGAGAGUGAAGGUCCCGGGUACCUGCCGCCAGGUCCUAGUGACCAGCCCCCAGAGUGGAA
rnacentral:lncRNA from 1 species